rnacentral:tRNA from 11 species
GGGCGGUUAGCUCAGGGGUAGAGCACUGCCUUCACACGGCAGGGGUCACUGGUUCGAUCCCAGUAUCGCCCACCA